UUAAGCGUUUUCUGAUCAUGUAGGUAAGUGCUUUGAUUACCUUUAGACGUGAUGCAUGCUGGGAGGCAAAUAUUUUUUUAUCAAAGGCUCGUUGAUGGUAAUAAAUAUACAUAUAAAUAUACAUUUUACUAUACUACGAUUGUGUUCGAUUAAUUAAUGGGUUGUUUAAUUAUUAAUUUGUUUAUUUUAAAUCCUGUAAUUUAACAACUCUGACGUCAUCGAAUGCGACGAUGCCAAGGUCCAUUGCGAUUUCCACUCGAAUUCGCCUUUCAAAGCCUACAGCGAACGGACGGUUUGGACUUCAGCCCUCUACUUCCUGCUUUAAUGAUGUCACUAGAACAGUUUUUUGACUAAACUCCACCCACAGGAAUACAUCAGUGGCCAGCUAAGCUAACGGAUACUGUUUUCUACCGGCUGGUUAUUGAAACGGAGGUCUUGUACAAAGAAGGGAAAUACGUCAAAUCACUAACGUCCACAUUCAAAAAUAAGGUGCGAGCCAAGCCAAUUUUAUUUAUUGGGAAACAGGAUAAAAAGGCUUCGAAUAAGUGGGUUGCAUAUAUUAUUACCCAUUGGCACCCCACUCCUGUCACUACAAUUUUUUGGAGGAGAUGCGGAGGGCUUUAUCUUGACAAAAGGUCAGAGUAAUGUUUAUGUUUAGAGAUUUAGGAUUUAAAAUACAUGUAUAUUCCUUUGUUGAUAUGUACAGAUUUUAUGAUGAAAGUAAACUUGUAUUAUAGCAACCUCCACAGGACAGCAGCCUGAGAGCCUUGCCAAUGGAGCGGCCUGAGAGCCCUGCUGUGAAAUGGCCGGAGAACCUCACCAAGAAGUCUGAGGCUAUAUUUGUACUAAAUCUUGUUCUUCUGUCUUCUAGACUCUCUCCAACCUCUCUUGCUCCUACUACCUCUACUGCUUUUACAACAAUUUUCUCUCCACUUUUUUUCCCCACCUUCACUGCCAUGCUCUAAGUUUUUGCCACAGAGGAAGAGGAAGAUAAAGAAAUCUACCUCUUCCCACUAUACCACACUUGUCUCUCUUCAAUUUGCAUCUGUCUCUUCCAGUUCUAAAUCUCAGAAGUGGCCACUGGUGAAGAACAGAAUAAAGGAUAACUUUUCCUGUUACAUCUUACUCCACAAUUUGCUCCUAGUCAAAUAUGUCUUCAUGUUAAUUAAAUUCAUUUAGCUAACCAGGUAUUUGUUAGCCAGUUCACAGUGUUUUAGAGCCCAAUGUCCAAGGACUGUGGUCAAUGUAAAUUCCUGACUUAAAGGGACACUUCACUUUUUUUUGCUAAUUUUCCAGCAGUAAGUUUUACCGUUUUAGAAUCCAUUCAGCUGAUCUCCGCGUCUGGCACUACCACUUUUAGCAUAGCUUAGCAUAAUACAUUGAAUCUGAUUAGGCCAUUAGCAUCGCGCCAAAAAAUAACCAAAGAGUUUCGAUAUUUUUCCUAUUUAAAACUUCUUCUGUAGUUACAUCGUGUACUAAGACAGACGGAAAAUUUAAAGUUGUGAUUUUCUCAGCUGAUAUUUCUAGGAACUAUACUCUUAUUCUGUCGUAAUAAUCAAGGACUUUGCUGUCGUAACAUGGCUGCAGAAGGCAUAAUGAUAUAACGCAGUGCCCGAAAAUAGUCCCCUUAGUAUCUUUCAAUAGCAGGGGCAAUUUUCGGGCACUGCGUAAUAUCAUUUUGGUUGAUUGACAAAAACAAGCACAAAUUUGUUUGACACUAAUGGAAAGGACUGCAUAUCACUUCACAUAAAUAUGGACUCAUGUGAUUCACCUACAAAGCAUGGCAUUCAUGGCUUAAUAAACUUUUUGUCUUUUCAUCAUUUCAGGUUGCUGAAAAUGUAGUUGGCAGAAGGUUUCCUUUUCGAUAAAAUAACUGGGGAACAGAUAAAUGAGAGGAAAGCCGAAUUGAAAGUUCACUGGUUACGUGCUCUGUGUGUGGAAAAACUUGGGAUGACUCAUAGGAGCCUGCCAGCGAAUUCCAACACAAGUCCCCACAUCCCAACCAGUUUUCAGCAUGACAGCCUACACCUUUACAUUAUCAAGCACCCUUCAACUGUUUAAUUUUGAGUGUCUUUGCUUGCUGUUCUUUAUUAAAGUUUUUGCACAGUA